rnacentral:lncRNA from 1 species
AUGAACAUUUCUGCUGCAUAUGUUUACUCAGCAUAUGGGCACAUGCCUUCAUUUUGUUAUGACAUUUGGAUUGUUUAACAUGGGACAAUACAUUCAUUAACAUUAGCUACGCCGUUCGUUAGUAGGUAGUGGUACCAUAGGAAUUGACAACUCCCAUUCCUGAAGUCCUGGGUUUGAUAGGACUGGAAGGAAUGACCGAAUUCGAUAUACAUAACUUAGAUAAACCUUUAAUUUUCUCAAGGCUUGGAUGUAUGCAUAGUUUACAAUACCGCAUAAAUGUUAAUAUCAAUAGAGCAUGCAUUUUCCGCAGAACAUAACGUUGAUUUAAACCACGUUUUACUUCAACGACUUGUUUUGUGCAUAUGGUUUAAGUUGAUACAUUUCGCUUACCAUACAUGAUACAUUUUGGGAUUACACAUUACAUGAUUUACAUUGAACAUAAACACGUUGACAUUGACAUAUACAUUUGGUGGUUUACACUUGAACAUAAACACUUGACAUGGAUUACAAUAACACUUGACAUUUGGUUUACACAUGAACAAUUUACAUGGUGGAUUGGUUUGGGUAAAUGAUUU